rnacentral:rRNA from 1 species
UGCAGAGGUCUCAAGCGUUGUUCGGAUUCAUUGGGCGUAAAGGGUGCGUAGGCGGCGCGGUAAGUCGGGUGUGAAAUCUCGGAGCUUAACUCCGAAACUGCAUUCGAUACUGCCCGGCUAGAGGUAGGUAGGGGAGAUCGGAAUUCCUGGUGUAGCGGUGAAAUGCGCAGAUAUCAGGAGGAACACCGGUGGCGAAGGCGGAUCUCUGGGCCUUACCUGACGCUCAGGCGCGAAAGCUAGGGGAGCGAACUGG